rnacentral:rRNA from 1 species
GAUGAACACUGGCGGCGUGCUCAACACAUGCAAGUCGAACGAUGAAGCCAGCUUGCUGGUGGAUUAGUGGCGAACGGGUGAGUAACACGUGAGUAACCUGCCCUUAACUCUGGGAUAAGCCUGGGAAACUGGGUCUAAUACCGGAUAUGACUUCCCAUCGCAUGGUGGGGGGUGGAAAGCUUUUGUGGUUUUGGAUGGACUCGCGGCCUAUCAGCUUGUUGGUGAGGUAAUGGCUCACCAAGGCGACGACGGGUAGCCGGCCUGAGAGGGUGACCGGCCACACUGGGACUGAGACACGGCCCAGACGCCUACGGGAGGCAGCAGUGGGGAAUAUUGCACAAUGGGCGGAAGCCUGAUGCAGCGACGCCGCGUGAGGGAUGACGGCCUUCGGGUUGUAAACCUCUUUCAGUAGGGAAGAAGCGUAAGUGACGGUACCUGCAGAAGAAGCGCCGGCUAACUACGUGCCAGCAGCCGCAGUAA